CGAGAGAAAGAGCCGAUAAUAUUCCCGAAUCGUUUUAUUGGGUGUAAACACUGGAAAGGAUGGCUGAUAAACGUUCGAUAAAUUACGUUUAAUGGUGUGAAAUUAGUGGAGCCGCGGUCGGAUUUCCGUACGGUCCAUUUACCAUCUCAUUUUUUUUCUCUCUCAUUCUCUUUUCUCUCCCGCAUCCUCUACACUAUACUCUUAUACCC